rnacentral:lncRNA from 1 species
UCACAGAAGUCGCAGGAUUAAGACUUUUGGUUGAAGGCUUCAUAGCAGUCACUUCAGCAGGUGCAACUGGCUUGACAAUAACACUCUCUACGGGUGGAGGUGGUGGUGGAGGGGGAGGGGGAGGAGGUGGUGGUGGAGGUGGAGGUGGAGGUGGAGGCAUCAACAUCAUAUCAAGUCCACUCAUGUCUAUCUCAUGACUCUCCAGCCUUUCCAUUCUCCCUGCUCCUUGUGGAAUCCUGUCUUGCUCCUGCUGCCGCUUUGGAACUGCUCCC